AUUGAACGCUGGCGGCAGGCCUAACACAUGCAAGUCGAACGAGUGGCGGACGGGUGAGUAAUGUCUGGGAAACUGCCUGAUGGAGGGGGUUCACUACUGGAAACGGUAGCUACUACCGCAUACCAUCAGAUGUGCCCAGGUGGGAUUAGCGUGUUGGUGGGGUAACGGCUCACCAAGGCGACGAUCCCUAGCUGGUCUGAGAGGAUGACCAGCCACACUGGAACGGAGACACGGUCCAGACUCCUACGGGAGGCAGCAGUGGGGAAUAUUGGACAAUGGGCGCAAGCCUGAUCCAGCCAUGCCGCGUGUGUGAAGAAGGCCUUCGGGUUGUAAAGCACUUUCAGUGGGGAGGCGUUACCCGCAGAAGAAGCACCGGCUAACUCCGUGCCAGCAGCCGCGGUAAUUC
rnacentral:rRNA from 1 species